ACCAAGUACACCAGCUCCAAGUGAGCCCGCCAAGUGAACGGCUUCAGCAGUCUCCUCCUUGACUUAUACUCCCAACUGCCUUCCAAACCCUGGCUGCAGGAAAGAAAACGGAGGAGAAGUGGAGAUCAUGUUGGGGGAAGUUCUGAGUUCCUGACCUUCAUUUUGCUGGCGUGGGCAAGUGGCACUACACAGGGGAAAAGGCUCUCUUUGCUUUACUUGAACAGCAGCAUUUGAGUGACUUUUCCUUUCAUAACCGUGACACCUGCUAUCAUGGAUAAGGAACAGGAAUUGUGGAAAAGUGAAGGACUAACAUUUUAGAAUUUUGUCUAAAAGUUCAACCAUGAAGGUUAAGCUGUGUUUCGUCAGUACAAAACAUUAUGUCUCACAGCCAAGUUAUGGCUACUUUUUGGGAAAGACGGAGGAGCAUAGGGGGAAGAAUAAAGGUGAGAGAAUUGGAGAGAGACUCAGAAAAAGAACGGAAGAAGCAAAUGGCUACUAUGAAAGGAGAGACAGAGCCUGAAGACCCAAGAGAAGCCAGAGAAUGCUAGUCGGAGAAAGCUGAAAGGGAAAGAGUGAGAUGAGGGGAUAGAUCUCGUCAUGUUUGGGAUGCUUGAUCUGGGUGUACCACCUGUUACACACCUGUUACACUCCCCACAUUUCUUGGGUGUCGGGGUGAGUGGAUGGAUUACAACACAACCACAUCUGGGAGACACUCUCUGACCAGCACAAGUAAGAUGGCGCCCUUCUAUCCCAUUCUUAACUUAUUCUGUUCAUUCUUCUUCAUUACACUUAGCAAAACUGA